rfam:Schistosoma rodhaini strain Burundi genome assembly, scaffold: SROB_scaffold0004462
AUCCAGCUGACAAGUCCCGAAAUAGGACGAAACGCUCAUCCUGGAU